UAAAAUUAGGUUUGUGGUUGAAAGUCGAUGCCAGUCGCAGGCAAAACGAUCCACGUAAGUUAAAUAAAAAUAUUUGAUGAGCAUGGUGCGGCUUAGAAGUAAGUCCUGCCGUUAUUAAAAACGAGAGGGUUAGUAGUGAGAAGAUGAACUCUGGGUAGCGAAAAUUCCAGCAGGCGAGUGUGGGGGCAAAAACCAGGUCAACUAAUUUUA
rfam:Clostridium botulinum A str. ATCC 3502 complete genome